rnacentral:rRNA from 1 species
ANCCUGCAUGUCUAANUAUAAGCAAUUUAUACAGUGAAACUGCGAAUGGCUCAUUAAAUCANUUAUCGUUUAUUUGAUAGUUUCUUUACUACAUGGAAUACCUGUGGUAAUUCUAGAGCUAAUACAUGCUUAAAAUCCCGACUCACGAAGGGAUGUAUUUAUUAGAUAAAAAAUCAAUGUCUUCGGACUUCUGAUGAUUCAUAAUAACUUUUCGAAUCGCAUGGCCUUGUGCUGGCGAUGGUUCAUUCAAAUUUCUGCCCUAUCAACUUUUGAUGGUAGGAUAGUGGCCUACCAUGGUUUCAACGGGUAACGGGGAAUAAGGGUUCGAUUCCGGAGAGGGAGCCUGAGAAACGGCUACCACAUCCAAGGAAGGCAGCAGGCGCGCAAAUUACCCAAUCCUAAUUCAGGGAGGUAGUGACAAUAAAUAACGAUACAGGGCUUUAUGUCUUGUAAUUGGAAUGAGUACAAUGUAAAUACCUUAACGAGGAACAAUUGGAGGGCAAGUCUGGUGCCAGCAGCCGCGGUAAUUCCAGCUCCAAUAGCGUAUAUUAAAGUUGUUGCAGUUAAAAAGCUCGUAGUUGAACUUUGGGCUUGGAGAAUCGGUCCGACUAUGUCGUGUACUGUCUUCUCCAGGUCUUUCCUUCUGGUUCUCAAUUGGGGCUUGCUCCUUUUGGUGAUCCAGGAUUUUUACUUUGAAAAAAUUAGAGUGUUCAAAGCAGGCGUUUUGCUCGAAUAUAUUAGCAUGGAAUAAUAGAAUAGGACGAAUGGUUCUAUUUUGUUGGUUUCUAGGACCAUCGUAAUGAUUAAUAGGGACGGUCGGGGGCAUCAGUAUUCAGUUGUCAGAGGUGAAAUUCUUGGAUUUACUGAAGACUAACUACUGCGAAAGCAUUUGCCAAGGACGUUUUCAUUAAUCAAGAACGAAAGUUAGGGGAUCGAAGAUGAUCAGAUACCGUCGUAGUCUUAACCAUAAACUAUGCCGACUAGGGAUCGGGCGGUGCCUUUUAUUGGCCCACUCGGCACCNNACGAGAAAUCAAAGUUUUUGGGUNCUNGGG